rnacentral:rRNA from 1 species
AAUGAACGUUGGCGGCGUGGAUUAGGCAUGCAAGUCGAGCGGUAGGGAACUGCUCACCCGGUAUCAUUUAGCCCGGCCAUCAUGGCCGGGUUUGAGUGAUCCAGGUGAGCAGUUCCUGAGAGCGGCGAAAGGGAGAGUAAUACGUAGUUACGUGCCCCGAGGUCCGGAAUAGCCACGGGAAACUGUGGGUAAUGCCGGAUGUUGUCUUCGGACUAAAGGUGUGAUUCCGCCUUGGGAGCGGACUGCGUUGUACUAGCUAGUUGGUGGGGUAAUGGCCUACCAAGGCGAUGAUGCAUAGCGGGCGUGAGAGCGUGGCCCGCCUCACUGGGACUGAGACACUGCCCAGACACCUACGGGUGGCUGCAGUCGAGAAUCUUCGGCAAUGGGCGAAAGCCUGACCGAGCGACGCCGCGUGCGGGAUGAAGGCCUUCGGGUUGUAAACCGCUGUCGUAGGGGAGGAAAUUGAUCGGGGUUCUCCCCGGUUAUUGACCUAUCCUAGGAGGAAGGACGGGCUAAGUUCGUGCCAGCCGCCGCAGUAAGAC